UACAGAGGUCUCGAGCGUUGUUCGGAUUCAUUGGGCGUAAAGGGUGCGUAGGUGGCGCCGUAAGUCGGGUGUGAAAUUUCGGAGCUUAACUCCGAAACUGCAUUCGAUACUGCGGUGCUUGAGGACUGGAGAGGAGACUGGAAUUCAUGGUGUAGCAGUGAAAUGCGUAGAGAUCAUGAGGAAGACCAGUGGCGAAGGCGGGUCUCUGGACAGUUCCUGACACUGAAGCACGAAGGCCAGGGGAGCAAACGGG
rnacentral:rRNA from 1 species